rnacentral:rRNA from 1 species
UACGUAGGGGGCAAGCGUUGUCCGGAAUCAUUGGGCGUAAAGAGCGUGUAGGCGGCCUGAUAAGUCGGCUGUGAAAGUCAAGGGCUCAACCCUUGAAUGCCGGCCGAUACUGUCAGGCUAGAGUCCGGAAGAGGCGAGUGGAAUUCCUGGUGUAGCGGUGAAAUGCGCAGAUAUCAGGAGGAACACCGGUGGCGAAGGCGGUUCUCUGGGCAUUACCUGACGCUGAGGAGCGAAAGUGUGGGGAGCGAACAGG